rnacentral:rRNA from 1 species
GGGUAAGGACGGUGCCAGCCGCCGCGGUAAUACCGGCGCCUCAAGUGGUAGUCGCUUUUAUUGGGCCUAAAACGUCCGUAGCCGGUUUGGUACAUUCGUGGGUAAAUCAACCAGCUCAACGGGUUGAAUUCUGCGAGCACGGCCAGACUUGGGACCGGGAGAGGUGUGGGGUACUCUCAGGGUAGGGGUAAAAUCCUGUCAUCCUGAGAGGACCACCUGUUGCGAAGGCGCCACACUAGAACGGAUCCGACGGUCAGGGACGAAGCCUAGGGGCACGAACCGGAUUAGAUACCCGGGUAGUCCUAGGUGUAAACGCUGUGGACUUGAUGUUGGGGAUGCUCCGAGGAGCUCUCAGUGUCGAAGCGAAGGUGAUAAGUCCACUGCCUGGGGAGUACGGUCGCAAGGCUGAAACUUAAAGGAAUUGGCGGGGGAGCACUGCAACCUGAGGAUUGUGCGGUUUAAUUGGAUUCAACGCCGGAAAACUCACCAUGGCCGACGGACAAAUGAAAGCCAGUGUAACGAGCUUGCUGGAUUGUUCGAGAGGUAUUGCAUGGCCGCCGUCAGUUCGUACCGCAAGGCGUUCUGUUAAGUCAGAUAACGAACGAGACCCUCAUCCCUAUUUGCCAACAGGUCUCCGGAUGUAGCGCACUAUAGGGAGACUGCCUGUGCUAAGU